CCCCAAAAAAAACGAGUUUUUCACCGGCGCACUAAUAUUUAACAUUUCAAAUUUUUUGUUUUUUUUUUUUCGAUUUUAUUAUAAAUGUACAGUUAUAACAAUAAUUUAACCGUGACAUAUUAUUAAUGUAGAAUUUUUUUUUUUUUUUUUCAAACGUCUGCACGGGGUUGCGCGAGGGCAAGUAGAAAGCGGUCCGUUUUAUACUACGUCGCGGUAUAUUAUAUUUUAUUCGCGACGCGUUUGGCAACGUUACAGAGUCGAAAUAAUAAUUAUUGUAAAUAAAUUUUUUUUUUUCAUUGUUUAUCGCGUACGAUAAAUAUCGUAUACAGGAAUUUUUUUUUUUUUUUUUUUUGGCUCGAAAAUUUGUAUUAUUUAUUGCGUAUACGCGCGCGUAUGUGUGUGUGUGUGUGUGCGAGGCCCCCCCCCCGCAAGAGUUAUAUAGACAACAAUAUACGCGCGACGAGUUUCGCGAUAAAUCGACAUUACGAGUUUGUUUUUUUUUUUUUUUUUCCGAUUCAUUUCGCGAUAUAUUUCGACACGCGUACAUUACAAUAUUAUUACCGUUUUACACCUACCCGAUACGCGGUAUACUGUACGGGCGAACGCGACGUUUCGAAACGUAUUUUUCAAUAUUACCGGCUGUACGGUUUACGAUACACGGUUCGCAAUAUUUCGUUAAUAAUCACGCAAUUAUAUUCGUAAUGCGAUUGGAUUAUUCGUUGUUUCUUCUAAAAAAAAAAAAAAAAUAAUAAUAAUAAUAAAAAAACAGUAGUGAAACGCACAGCUUCUUCGCUACACUCGGAUACUAAAACACAAAAUUCGUAUCGGGAAAGGGGUGGGGCUACAUCACGAAAACUACCCGACAAAUUAUCAAUCGCCAUCUCCCCCGGAGCAAUGUCGUAAAUACGCCGCCGCUCUGCAGUAUAUUAUAUUACUCAUUUUGGAUAAUUUCACGAUAAAACACUAUUGACCAAGUGUUUUUAAUUUCAAACGGUUUUGUUUGGAAUCGACGAGCCAUUUGUGUG